UGGGACUGGCCCUUCCUGCAGCGUUAGCUGAGGCAUUGUGUGGGGGACCUCACUUGAAGCUGGGUGGAGCUGGUGUCUGAGAAAGGCUGCCAUGGUCAGCAUGAAAGCUAGUGAUUACGUGAGCGGAGUCUCUGCAGAGAGAAGCAGUAACGCAGGCCUCGGCAGCUUCUGGCUUGUUCCAGGGCCCUCCCUGCUCCGCGGGACCACAGCACUCGAUGCCUCCCUGACCCCUGACCCCUGGCCCAGAGCCGGCCUUCCCUCAGGAAUUGCUCGGAAUAAAAUUUUCCAGAAGGCUU
rnacentral:lncRNA from 1 species